UGAGAGUCCUGAAGGAACGUUGAAGACGACGACGUUGAUAGGUCGGGUGUGUAAGUGUAGCGAUACAUUGAGCUAACCGAUACUAAUGAACCGUGAGGCUUAACCUU
rnacentral:rRNA from 1 species